UAGCCAUAUCACAUUGAAUCACUGGUUCUUGUAUGAUCACUGAAGUUAAGCAAUGUUGAGCUUGGUCAGUAUCUAGAUUGGUGACCACUUGGGAAUACCAGGU